AUUGAACGCUGGCGGCAGGCCUAACACAUGCAAGUCGAGCGGAUGAAGGGAGCUUGCUUCUGGAUUCAGCGGCGGACGGGUGAGUAAUGCCUAAGAAUCUGCCUGGUAGUGGGGGAUAACGUCCGGAAACGGGCGCUAAUACCGUAUACGCCCUGAGGGAGAAAGUGUGGGAUCUUCGGACCUCAUGCUAUCAGAUGAGCCUAGGUCGGAUUAGAUAGUUGGUGGGGUAAAGGCCUACCAAGGCGACGAUCCGUAACUGGUCUGAGAGGAUGAUCAGUCACACUAGAACUGAGACACGGUCCAGACUCCUACGGGAGGCAGCAGUGGGGAAUAUUGGACAAUGGGCGAAAGCAUGAUCCAGCCAUGCCGCGUGUGUGAAGAAGGUCUUCGGCUUGUAAAGCACUUUUAGUUGGAAAGAAGAGCAGUAAGUUAAUACCUUGCUGUUUUGACGGUACCAACAGAAUAAGCACCGGCUAACUUCGUG
rnacentral:rRNA from 1 species